UUACAAUUUUCUUUACUAUUUUCACAGACAAUGUGCAUCAGAGGAACAAGCUUAUGUAUUUUAUAACAUUAUUUCCAUUUUUAAAGAAACGUCUAUUGCAGACACAAACAUUAUAAAUAAACGUAUACAUUAUUUCUAAUAAAUUAACAAUCAAAAUGUGUUUUGUAUACAGUAAAUCUUUCAUCACAGAAAACAAUUUCUGAAUGAAUAGUCCCAACACAAAAUAAAAGUCCACUUCCUUGCCACAGGGUGGCGCUCUGCAGCCUGUUGUUAGAAAGCAGCUCAAGUUAAAUAUGAGUGACUCCAGGUUGAGUUUGACACUUAAAGCAUUCAUUCUGCUGAACAAUGGCCAGGUUUACUGUAGUCUUGAUGGUAUUUUCACUGCUUCAGGAGAGCACUGAUGCAAAUACAAUAGAAUCUCUCUCACCAGAAAAGCAUGUUUCAGUUGGAGAAAGUGCUGUUAUCUCCUGCAAAUACAGCGGCAUUGGGCCAAGCUUCCAGUGGUAUCGCCAAUAUCCAAGAUCCAGACCAGAGUUCCUUAUUUUUCACACAGAGAAUGCUGAUUCAAAUGAACCCACUUUACGUCUCACAGCGAUACCCAAAAAAGAAAUGACACAAGUGGAUCUGGAGAUCUCCUCUACUGAGGUGAAAGACUCUGCUGUGUAUUACUGCGCCCUGGUGCCCACAGUGACAGGAAACACACCUGCUCUGUACAAAAACUUAAUACAUUCAUCUGCAUUACACAAAACUGUGAAACACCCGCAUCCAAUACACCACAACAAAUUACUGAUGCAACAUGUUUAAAUCUAAAGAAACACUGUCAGGUCUUUAUUUUGA